rnacentral:tRNA from 1 species
GCCUCCGUAGCUCAGUUGGCCAGAGCAACCGCCUUGUAAGCGGUCGGUCGACGGUUCGAAUCCGUCCGGAGGCU